rnacentral:rRNA from 1 species
AUGUCUGACCAGAGUGAUAGUCAGAACAGGUCUGAGCAACAUGUGCACUUGAGUGAGGGUUCAGAUCCCUCUAGCAGCUAUGAUGAAGGCAGCAGGAGCACUCCAAGCAAUCUGCCAAAGGCUGCCACCAAGACAAGGAAAAAGAGGAAUUCUGACUCUGAGGAUGAAGAUUAUGUGGCUGUUGAAGAUGAAGCCACUUCAAAGAAGAAAGUGCUAAAGAAGGAGUAUGGCACAGCUGCUGCAACUAAGCCAGGUCUGAAAACAAAGAUGCCAGCAAAAAGACAACACUGUUGUGAUGAAUGA